rnacentral:rRNA from 1 species
AAUAGAUACCCGGGUAGUCCACCCCGUAAACGUUGGGAACUAGUUGUGGGGUCCUUUCCACGGAUUCCGUGACGCAGCUAACGCAUUAAGUUCCCCGCCUGGGGAGUACGGCCGCAAGGCUAAAACUCAAAGGAAUUGACGGGGACCCGCACAAGCGGCGGAGCAUGCGGAUUAAUUCGAUGCAACGCGAAGAACCUUACCAAGGCUUGACAUACACGAGAACACUCUGGAAACAGGGGACUCUUGGACACUCGUGAACAGGUGGUGCAUGGUUGUCGUCAGCUCGUGUCGUGAGAUGUUGGGUUAAGUCCCGCAACGAGCGCAACCCUCGUUCUAUGUUGCCAGCACGUUAUGGUGGGAACUCAUGGGAUACUGCCGGGGUCAACUCGGAGGAAGGUGGGGAUGACGUCAAAUCAUCAUGCCCCUUAUGUCUUGGGCUUCACGCAUGCUACAAUGGCCGGUACAAAGGGCUGCAAUACCGUGAGGUGAGCGAAUCCCAAAAAGCCGGUCCAGUUCGGAUUGAGGUCUGCAACUCGACCUCA